CCCUUAGAUGUUCUGGGCCGCACGCGCGCUACACUGAUGCAUUCAACGAGUCUAAAACCUGCUCUGAUAGGGGUGGGUAAUCUUUUGAAUGUGCAUCGUGAUUGGGAUAGAUGAUUGCAAUUUUUCAUCUUCAACGAGGAAUGCCUAGUAAACGCAAGUCAUCAGCUUGCAUUGAUUACGUCCCUGCCCUUUGUACACACCGCCCGUCGCUCCUACCGAUUGAAUGAUCCGAUGAAUAUCAUGGAUUGAGGAUGUAAGCAGGUUCGCCUGUCUUCAUCUUCGAGAAGUGAAGUAAAUCGUAUCAUUUAGAGGAAGGAGAAGUCGUAACA
rnacentral:rRNA from 1 species